GGCGGUUCUCAGGUGACGCACCCCAGAAUCAGGCUCCCUCCUCUCUGGUUCCAGGUGUGUCACUCAGAACCGCU
rfam:Myotis davidii contig92392, whole genome shotgun sequence.